rnacentral:rRNA from 1 species
GUCCUUUUGAUAUUUAUAUAAGGUCUGACCUGCCCACUGAAUAUUUAAGGGCCGCGGUAAUUUGACCGUGCUAAGGUAGCAUAAUCAUUAGUUUCUUAAUUAGAAGCUGGAAUGAAUGGUUUCAUGAGAAAAUAACUGUCUCUUUUUAAUUUUUAUUGAAUUUUAUUUUUGAGUAAAAAAGCUUAAAUUAAUUUAAAAGACGAGAAGACCCUUUAGAGUUUUAUAAUUUAUAGUUUUUAAUUUUUUGGUAUUAAGAAUUUUUAGAAUAAAAAUUAUUUUGUUGGGGUGAUAGAAAAAUUUAAUAAACUUUUUUUAUUUAUUUACAUAGAUUUAUGAUUUUUUGAUCCGAUAAGAUUGAUUAUAAGAAUAAAUUACCUAAGGGAUAACAGCGUAAUAUUUUUUGAGAGUUCUUAUCGAAAGAAGUGAUUGCGACCUCGAUGUUGGAUUAAAAUAAAAAUUUGGUGUAGAUGCUGAAUUAUUAGGUCUGUUCGACCUUUAAAAUUUUACAUGA